rnacentral:rRNA from 1 species
GACGAACGCUGGCGGCGUGCCUAAUACAUGCAAGUAGAACGCUGAAGAGAGGAGCUUGCUCUUCUUGGAUGAGUUGCGAACGGGUGAGUAACGCGUAGGUAACCUGCCUUGUAGCGGGGGAUAACUAUUGGAAACGAUAGCUAAUACCGCAUAACAAUGGAUGACACAUGUCAUUUAUUUGAAAGGGGCAAUUGCUCCACUACAAGAUGGACCUGCGUUGUAUUAGCUAGUAGGUGAGGUAACGGCUCACCUAGGCGACGAUACAUAGCCGACCUGAGAGGGUGAUCGGCCACACUGGGACUGAGACACGGCCCAGACUCCUACGGGAGGCAGCAGUAGGGAAUCUUCGGCAAUGGGGGCAACCCUGACCGAGCAACGCCGCGUGAGUGAAGAAGGUUUUCGGAUCGUAAAGCUCUGUUGUAAGUCAAGAACGAGUGUGAGAGUGGAAAGUUCACACUGUGACGGUAGCUUACCAGAAAGGGCGGCU